rnacentral:rRNA from 1 species
GACGGAGGUCUCAAGCGUUGUUCGGAUUCAUUGGGCGUAUAGGGUGUGUAGGUGGCGCCGUAAGUCGGGUGUGAAAUUUCGGAGCUUAACUCCGAAACUGCAUUCGAUACUGCGGUGCUUGAGGACUGGAGAGGAGACUGGAAUUCAUGGUGUAGCAGUGAAAUGCGUAGAGAUCAUGAGGAAGACCAGUGGCGAAGGCGGGUCUCUGGACAGUUCCUGACACUGAGACACGGAGGCCAAGGGAGCAAACGG